UGCACUGCAGAGGGAAGGUGGGGGUAGAAGGGUUGAGGGUACCAAGGAAAUUAAAAUUUUAAGGGCUAAUUCCCCUUCAUUCAAGAAAUAUUUACUGUGAUGAAGACAUGUUCCAUGCAGAGGAAAUGGCCAAUGCAAAGAGCCCCUGACUGGAGGGCAUUUGGCACAUUCUAGGAGAGUGAGGAGGAUUCUAUGGGCCAGGAAUUCAGACAGGGCACAGUGUUGAUGGCUUGUCUGUGUCCUGGCUGGGAUGGCUCAAAUGGUUGUGGGACUAUUUGACUUGAAAGGCUGGAGCCUGGAAUCAUUUGAAACAUUGUUCACUCAUGUGUCUGGCACCUGCGUUAGAAUGACUGAAGGCUACAUCAACUAGAGUACUUACAUCCGGUCUCUCCAUGUGACUUGGACUUUUCACAGCGUGGAGGCUGGAUUUCAAAGGUCAACUGAGAAUGGCAGAGGACUCAUCCCACCUUUGCCACAUGGUGACUUGCCCCACUCCCCCAGGUGACCUUGCUCGUGCAUGUGGAUAUUUGCUCAGAUUAAGAAUGUUUCCCACAAAAUUGCUUACUCUCUUUCAUUCUGUCCGUGGUUGCUUGUGGUUUAUUUGUUGAUAACUGAGACUAUUUAAAGAUUGCCAAAACAAAAGCCAUUUCUUUUCUCCCCGAAUAGCCUCAUUUUUUCUAUUCCCUUUUUCCCCUCCUAUUAACAUUUCUGGGGACUCUAAAGCAGAGCUCAAGAUGGUUCAGGACCACGGAGAGCGCAAGGAAGGGGAACUACCAAAGCACUUUAGUCAUGCAGGUGGGGAAAGAGAUGAUCCUAAAAUUGUUUUUAUUUUUCUGUUUUUUUGAGAGGGAGUCUCGCUCUGUCACCCAGGCUGGAGUGCAGUAGCACGAUCUUGGCUCACUUCAACCUCCGCGUCCCGGGUCCAAGCGAUUCUAGCGCCUCAGCCUCCUGAGUAGCUGGGAUUACAGGUGUGCACCACCAUGCCCAGCUAAUUUUUUGUAUUUUUAGUAGAGACUGGGUUUUGCCAUGUUGGCCAGGCUGGUCUCCAAUUCCUGACCUCCAGUGAUCCACCCCCCUCAGUCUCCCAAAGUGCUGGGAUUACAGGCGUGAGCCACCACGCCCAGCCAAUAGUGGAAUUGUUGCCGGACAAUAUUUAUUUAAAAGACAUUAUUGUAAAGAGUAACAGUGUAAUUCUGGCUCCUUGAAAUUUGAGGGGAAUGAUUUUUCUGGACAUUCGACCAGUGCUUUCUAAAUUUCUCCACUGAAUUCUAUCUAAUGACAGAUGAGAGGACACUGAAAGUAGGAGUAGCCAUAAGUCACCAGUGCAAAAUGUCUUUUGAAGUUUGCAUUUAUUGAUUGCUACCAUUUAUGUAAAGUUUUACAGUUUUGACAGUCAUAGGGUUCACCAAUCCACCAUAGAAGAGAAUUAAGUCAUGCGGACACAGCAGGGUUUAGAAUGGAUGAGUAGAGGAGUGUGUGCAGGCUCCAGUCCCCAAAGUCUCUAGGACUGUCCUAGAACCUGCAGCUCAUCUGUCAAUUCUGUCAACUACUCAGGAUCCUCUCAAGAAUUAUCCCCCCAUACCCACCUUUUAAAUUUCCUCAAGCUAGUUUCAUUUGAGUUUUGUCACUUGCAACUGAAUGAGCCCUGCUAAUGCAGAUAGAUUCAAUUGAGAAGGGGAAUUCUAGGCUAGGAGUACAAGGUUACAGGCAAGGAGACAGGAACAUAGCUUGGGAUUUCCUGGGGCAGUGAGAAAACUGACUUUAAAAAAAUGGAAUGGUUUCUAAAAUGUUUGUACAACUUCUC
ensembl:lncRNA novel transcript